GAUCGAGACGGUUGACUUUUCCAGGAUCUGCAAACUGACCCGCUCGAGAUUGUCGACUGUCGCCAGAAGAUACUCCCACUGGACCAUCCACAUCGACAACCAGGCCAUCGUUGCUCGUCUCGUCCUGAACAUAUUAAAGACUGGUUGGUACGCUAUAGUCGUCUGCGUUAUCGAGGAUCUGUUGAUGAUUAUUAAUCUGAUAUGAUGGAACACCACCACUGACUAGUGUGCUUUCAUUGGAAUUAGCUUGAACAAUGUCGCCAAUCUUGUCACCGUUAGCAUCAGACAGACAAGGCUUCUUUACAUCACUCUGAUAAAAAGUCAGAAAAAAAAUAAGAAUAAAAAGAUAGAAAUUAAGGAAAAAUAAGAAACAUUCCAUUAAUAAUGGGAAAAAUUGAGGAUGAAAAAGAAAAUAGCGGCACUAAGGGCGCCAGGCUUACCUUGACCGGAAGCGCGGUUAACUUCCUCUUCCGGUCUCUCUCCUUGUGGUAUAAGUUCGACUCAAGUCGGGUAUCCUCCGCGUGCUGCUUUCUUUCCUCGCUCCGUUGGCUGUCUGAAAUAUACGGACAGGCUUAUAUACGGGGACGUUCGUUACUUCUUUUCUUAUUAUUAUUCGUUAUUAGAGCAUUAGCAUAACCUAACGAGCAUAAUGUAAUUGCAUCCACGCUCUUUCCUUCCCCUAUCUUCUCUCUUUCCCUUUCUCUCUAUCUUAUUGUGUGCCAGCUUGCGUCCCGGUACGAGAAUACAACUGAAAUCGCGCUUCAGCAAGCAAAAAUGCAGUAUAGUAUUCUUUAUUUACAUUCAAACUUUCAUUCAGCAAGAUUAUAGAGUUGCUUGUUUUAUAAUA